AAGAUUCUGUCCCUUAAGCAUCGGAGUUAUCUCUAGGAAUUGGACAUCUUUAUUCUCCAAUGGUUUGUACUUGGGCCAGUCUUGACAGGUAUCAUGCUCUCUAUGACUAAUCUGAGCCGUGUGUGGAAGGGAGCUGCUGCCCAGCUGGAAAUCACGUCCAUCUGAUGGUUCUGGGAACACAGACUCAUCAACUUUGUCAUUUUCUGGUUCUGCUAAAUAAGAUCAUCAUGGGGGACUCAGUUUCAGAGUAAGGAUUUCAUUCAAGCUCUGGGACUGCCUUCCAGAACACUGGUGCCAAAAGAAGGACUCGUCAGUGGCUGUCCUUCCCUGCCGCGGAGGGGAGAAACUGUGGGUUGUACUGUUACCCAUUAAAAUGAAAUGCUG
rnacentral:lncRNA from 1 species